rnacentral:rRNA from 1 species
UAACGCGAAGAACCUUACCCGGGCUUGAACUGCAGCGGAAGGAUACAGAGAUGUUGACGUCCUUCGGGACCGCUGUGGAGGUGCUGCAUGGUUGUCGUCAGCUCGUGCCGUGAGGUGUCGGCUUAAGUGCCAUAACGAGCGCAACCCCUUUCAUUAGUUGCCAUCACUUCGGGUGGGCACUCUGGUGAUACUGCCACCGUAAGGUGUGAGGAAGGUGGGGAUGACGUCAAAUCAGCACGGCCCUUACGUCCGGGGCUACACACGUGUUACAAUGGGUGAUACAGAUGGCCGGUUCACGGCAACGUGGAUCAAAUCUUGAAGGUCAUCCUCAGUUCGGAUUGGGGUCUGCAACCCGACCCCAUGAAGCUGGAUUCGCUAGUAAUCGCGCAUCAGCCAUGGCGCGGUGAAUACGUUCCCGGGUCUUGUACACACCGA